UACGGAGGGUGCGAGCGUUGUCCGGAAUCAUUGGGCGUAAAGGGCGCGUAGGCGGCCCGGUAAGUCCGUUGUGAAAGUCGAAGGCUCAACCUUCGAAAGCCGAUGGAUACUGCCGGGCUAGAGUACGGAAGAGGCGAGUGGAAUUCCUGGUGUAGCGGUGGAAUGCGCAGAUAUCAGGAGGAACACCAAUAGCGAAGGCAGCUCGCUGGGACGUUACUGACGCUGAGGCGCGAAAGCGUGGGGAGCGAACAGG
rnacentral:rRNA from 1 species